CUAGACGUCUUAAAAUCAGACAUCAAAUAGAAUGUAAAAAUAAAAAAGAUGUUUAUCUGAACUUCUGGACAUUAAAACCUUUGUGACAUCCAUUCAAUGCACCCUACCCUUCUCUACAGCUGUUGUUUUUGCCACCCCAUGGAGGCGUGCCAAGGUAUAUAAUAUGGAGUCGGUACACACGUGUACAUAAUAAUGUUAGAUAUUUGUCUUUCCUAAAUGGACUAGGAAAUUCCGAUAAAACCUAAUCAUCUCUAGGUUAUUUCUCGACCUUCAAGCCGAAAGCGGGUUACAGAGUAGCUAGCGAUGGAAAUUGAUGGCUAUAAUUUUGUUAAAAUGUCCUUGUACACACUUCCGAAGCCUCCUCCCUCCUGCUCUUUUAUUGCCCUUUAAUGUAUCUGUCCUUUGAUUUAAGGACAAAUUUUCUAUCAAAAUUUUGAGGGCAAUGAAAAACUUCAGACGAGGAUGCUUCGAAGUGUGUACAAAGACAUUUUGACAGAAUCCACCGGAAAAGAAAAAUCUGGGUAUCAUUCAAAUGAUGUGAAAACCUUUCAAUCAUCGGCAGACACUGGAUGCCAUCUGUUUGAUACAGCGCCUGAAUGAAAUGCAGCAGAAUGGUAAAGUUCUGUAACAAAAGGGAUAUGGAUGAUCUUAAAACAAUGGUGAUUUUUGUUUGCAACUUUACUGGAAAGGUACAAGAAAAUUUGCUCUCUUUCUCAGAUUUUAUUCUAACUGAAAGCAUGUCUCCGAAGUUUGAUCAUUGAAAAUAAACUUUUGUUUCAA